rnacentral:tRNA from 1 species
AUCCCUGUAGCUCAGUUGGUAGAGCAUGGUGUUUGCAACACCAGGGUUGUGGGUUUGAUUCCCACAGGGGGCC